rnacentral:rRNA from 1 species
GCGAAACCUUUACACUGCACGAAAGUGCGAUAGGGGAAUCCCAAGUGCGAGGGCAUAUUCGCCCUCGCUUUUGUUGACCGUAAGGUGGUCAACGAAUAAGAGCUGGGCAAGACCGGUGCCAGCCGCCGCGGUMAUACCGGCAGCUCGAGUGAUGUCCAAUAUUAUUGGGCCUAAAGCGUCCGUAGCUGGCCGCGCAAGUCCGUCGGGAAAUCCACCUGCCCAACAGGUGGGCGUCCGGCGGAAACUGUGUGGCUUGGAACCGGAAGGCUCAGAGGGUACGUCCGGGGUAGGAGUGAAAUCCCGUAAUCCCGGACGGACCACCGAUGGCGAAAGCACUCUGAGAAGACGGCUUCGACAGUGAGGGACGAAAGCUAGGGUCUCAAACCGGAUUAGAUACCCGGGUAGUCCUAGCUGUAAACGAUGCUCGUUAGGAGUGGCACCCAGUACGAGUGGGUGCUGUGCCGCAGGGAAGCCACUAAACGAGCCGCCUGGGAAGUACGUCCGCAAGGAUGAAACUUAAAGGAAUUGGCGGGGGAGCACUACAACCGGAGGAGCCUGCGGUUUAAUUGGAAUCA